GACGAACGCUGGCGGCGUGCCUAAUACAUGCAAGUCGAGCGAACAGACGAGGAUCUUGCUCCUUUCACGUUAGCGGCGGACGGGUGAGUAACACGUGGAUACUCUCCCUAACUGUCUGGGAUAAUUUCGGGAAACCGGCUAUAAUCCCGGAGAAUAUACUGCACCGUGGGGUUGAUUAGUGAAAGACGGCUUUGCGGGCACGUAUAGCUGGUUAUGCGCCUCUUUAGCUAGUUGGUAAGGUUACGGCUUUCGAAGGCAACGAGGCGUAACCGACCGGAGAGGCGGAUCGCCCACCCUGGAACGUGGACACCGUCCAGGCUCCUGCGGGAGGCAGCAGUAGCGAAUCGUCCGCAAUGGGCGGAAGCCUUACGGAGCAGCGCCGCGUGAGUGAUGAAGGUCUUCGGAUCGUAAAGCUCUGUUAUGAGUGAUAAACAAAUUUGUAAGUAAAUGUGCACGUCGUGACGGUACCUAGUCAAAAAGCCACGGCUAACUACGUG
rnacentral:rRNA from 1 species